CGCCGCGUGAGUGAUGAAGGUUUUCGGAUCGUAAAGCUCUGUUGCCCUAGACGAACAGCAAGGCGAGUAACUGCGCUUUGUGUGACGGUAUAGGAGAAGAAAGCCCCGGCUAACUACGUGCCAGCAGCCGCGGUAAUACGUAGGGGGCAAGCGUUGUCCGGAAUUAUUGGGCGUAAAGCGCGCGCAGGCGGUUAAUUAAGUUGGGUGUUUAAGCCCGGGGCUCAACCCCGGUUCGCAUCCAAAACUGGUUGACUUGAGUGUAGGAGAGGAAAGUGGAAUUCCACGUGUAGCGGUGAAAUGCGUAGAGAUGUGGAGGAACACCAGUGGCGAAGGCGACUUUCUGGCCUAUAACUGACGCUGAGGCGCGAAAGCGUGGGGAGCAAACAGGAUUAGAUACCCUGGUAGUCCACGCCGUAAACGAUGCAUACUAGGUGUUGGGGAUUCGAUUCCUCGGUGCCGAAGUUAACACAGUAAGUAUGCCGCCUGGGGAGUACGCUCGCAAGAGUGAAACUCAAAGGAAUUGACGGGCACCCGCACAAGCAGUGGAGUAUGUGGUUUAAUUUCGAAGCAACGCGAAGAACCUUACCAGGUCUUGACAUCC
rnacentral:rRNA from 1 species